CUAACGGAUUUUCUAAGAAUCCACCAAUACAUUUUAUGUAAUUUUAU
rfam:Ixodes scapularis strain Wikel colony gcontig_1108379714638, whole genome shotgun sequence.